UACGUAGGGUGCAAGCGUUGUCCGGAAUUAUUGGGCGUAAAGAGCUCGUAGGCGGUCUGUUGCGUCGGCUGUGAAAACCCGAGGCUCAACCUCGAGACGCCGAUGGAAACCAUCUGACUAGAGUCCGGAAGAGGAGAGUGGAAUUCCUGGUGUAGCGGUGAAAUGCGCAGAUAUCAGGAAGAACACCCGUGGCUAAGGCGGCUCUCUAGUACGGUACUGACGCUGAGACGCGAAAGCGUGGGGAGCGAACAGG
rnacentral:rRNA from 1 species